rfam:Pteropus alecto contig85279, whole genome shotgun sequence.
GUCUAUGGCCAUGCCACCCUGAACAAACCCGAUCCUGUCUGAUCUCGGAAGCUAAGCAGGGUCGGGCCUGGUUAGUACUUGGAAUGGGAGACCACCUAGGAAGACCAGGUGCUGUAGGCA